GCGCGAUUAGCUCAGUUGGUAGAGCAGCGCUUUUACACAGCGAAGGUCGGGGGUUCGAAUCCCUCAUCGCGCACCA
rnacentral:tRNA from 2 species